rnacentral:rRNA from 1 species
UACGGGGGGGGCAAGCGUUGUUCGGAAUUACUGGGCGUAAAGGGCUCGUAGGCGGCCAACUAAGUCGGAUGUGAAAUCCCCAGGCUUAACUUGGGAACUGCGUCUGAUACUGGGAGGCUUGAGUGCGGGAGAGGGAUGUGGAAUUCCAGGUGUAGCGGUGAAAUGCGUAGAUAUCUGGAGGAACACCGGUGGCGAAGGCGGCAUCCUGGACCGACACUGACGCUGAGGCGCGAAAGCUAGGGGAGCAAACGGG